rnacentral:rRNA from 1 species
AAAUUGAAGAGUUUGAUCAUGGCUCAGAUUGAACGCUGGCGGCAGGCCUAACACAUGCAAGUCGAACGGUAACAGGAAGCAGCUUGCUGCUUUGCUGACGAGUGGCGGACGGGUGAGUAAUGUCUGGGAAACUGCCUGAUGGAGGGGGAUAACUACUGGAAACGGUGGCUAAUACCGCAUAACGUCGCAAGACCAAAGAGGGGGACCUUCGGGCCUCUUGCCAUCAGAUGUGCCCAGAUGGGAUUAGCUAGUUGGUGAGGUAACGGCUCACCAAGGCGACGAUCCCUAGCUGGUCUGAGAGGAUGACCAGCCACACUGGAACUGAGACACGGUCCAGACUCCUACGGGAGGCAGCAGUGGGGAAUAUUGCACAAUGGGCGCAAGCCUGAUGCAGCCAUGCCGCGUGUAUGAAGAAGGCCUUAGGGUUGUAAAGUACUUUCAGCGGGGAGGAAGGUGUUGCGGU